rnacentral:rRNA from 1 species
GUGCCAGCAGCCGCGGUAAUACGUAGGGGGCAAGCGUUGUCCGGAUUUACUGGGCGUAAAGAGCGUGUAGGCGGCCAGACAGGUCCGUUGUGAAAACUGGAGGCUCAACCUUCAGACGUCGACGGAAACCGUCUGGCUAGAGUCCGGAAGAGGAGAGUGGAAUUCCUGGUGUAGCGGUGAAAUGCGCAGAUAUCAGGAAGAACACCGAUGGCGAAGGCAGCUCUCUGGGACGGUACUGACGCUGAGACGCGAAAGCGUGGGGAGCGAACAGGAUUAGAUACCCGGGUAGUCC